CCACCGAAACCCACACGAGCCGAGCCUCUUCUCCCGACGCCUGCCCUAACCGCCCUAAUCGGCGUCUCCUCACCUCUGCCCGACACCGACAACGCCGGGGAACAGAGAGCCGGCCAACUCCUUCUCCCCUGCGCUCGCACACUGCUGAUCCGUGCCUUAAUCGGUGCCGAGCAGUUUCCUCGCUUUCCCCACGCUUACAAAGCCCCAAUUCCUCGGCACUUCAUCUCCUCUCAUCUGAUCUGCGCGCCGAGGCCAAUCAUCGCCUCUCACCCCAUCGCCGUGGAGAUCCCUAACGCUGGCUAGUUCCCUGUGCCCUAGCUGCUAGCCACCGAGAGCUUUCUGGUUUACGCCACCGUGCCCUAGUUGCGAUCUUCCUCAGCCGCCGCCCCUCUGACCCGAUGCCCUAGUACCAUUGUUGUUCUCUGCCGAUUCACCACCACGGUAGCAAGUGGAGUUCGCCUGAGAGAAGGCUGCUAACCUGGAAUUGGAGUGAAGCUUGCAAGGGUUUGGGAAUUUUAGUGUGGAUUUGGAGGCUAGCGGCUCCACCUAGCUCCGGCCAGUAUAUCCGGCAGCAACUUCCCCGGCUGCGAUUCAACAGAGGAGGGCCAAUUGGGGUUAGACUGUUGUGGAGAUGAGGAAUUUGAUCAUUAUUCGUACACUUAGAUUACAUCUGUGUUGAGCCAAUUGGAAAUAUUCCUUGGAACGAGGAUUCGGAUUCGGGACGAGCACAUCGACAUAGAGGUUGAUUAGUUCGAUCUACAUUGGAGGCGGGU